rnacentral:rRNA from 1 species
CUACGGGACGCAUCAGUCGAGAAUCAUUCGCAAUGCGCGAAAGCGUGACGAUGCGACGCCGCGUGUAGGAUGACGGCCUUCGGGUUGUAAACUACUGUCAUGGGGAAACAACCGCCCGGGUGUUAAUAACAUCUGGGUCUGAUAGUACCCCAAGAGGAAGCCACGGCUAACUCUGUGCCAGCAGCCGCGGUAAUACAGAGGUGGCGAGCGUUGUUCGGAUUUACUGGGCGUAAAGGGUGCGUAGGCUGUUUUGUGUGUCAGAUGUGAAAUCUCACUUUUCAUGAGUGAAAUUGCAUUUGAAACUGCAGAACUAGAGUACAGGAGAGGAGAGCGGAAUUCAUGGUGUAGCGGUGAAAUGCGUAGAUAUCAUGAGGAACAUCGGCGGCGAAGGCGGCUCUCUGGAAUGAUACUGACGCUGAGGCACGAAAGCUGGGGGAGCAAACAGGAUUAGAUACCCUCGUAGUC